CACACACAGGGAACAGUUAGGAGGAAUACCGUAUAUACACACACACACACACACACACACACACACACACACACACACACACACACACACACACACACACACACACACACGGAACAGUUAGGAGGAAUACCGUAUAUAUACACACACACACACACACACACACACACACACACACACACACACACACACACACACACACACACACACACACACACACACACACACACACACACACACAGGGAACAGUUAGGAGGAAUACCGUAUACACACACACACACACACACAGUACUCAGUCAAGGAAUAGUUAAGACACACAUUUGGUUGGAGCAAAAUCGUGCACUGGUACUGCUGACAUACACACUGAUACUGCUGACAUACACACUGGUACUGCUGACAUACACACUGGUACUGCUGACAUACACACUGGUACUGCUGACAUACACACUGAUACUGCUGACAUACACACUGGUACUGCUGACAUACACACUGGUACUGCUGACAUACACACUUACUGCUGACAUACACACUGGUACUGCUGACAUACACACUGGUACUGCUGACAUACACACUGAUACUGCUGACAUACACACUGGUACUGCUGACAUACACACUGGUACUGCUGACAUACACACUGAUACUGCUGACAUACACACUGGUACUGCUGACAUACACACUGGUACUGCAGACAUACACACUGGUACUGCAGACAUACACACUGCUGACAUACACACUGGUACUGCUGACAUACACACUGCUGACAUACACACUGAUACUGCUGACAUACACACUGGUACUGCUGACAUACACACUGGUACUGCUGACAUACACACUGGUACUGCAGACAUAUACACUGGUACCGCUGACAUACACACUGGUACUGCUGACAUACACACUGAUACUGCUGACAUACACACUGGUACCGCUGACAUACACACUGGUACUGCUGACAUACACACUGGUACUGCUGACAUACACACUGGUACUGCUGACAUACACACUGGUACUGCUGACAUACACACUGGUACUGCUGACAUACACACUGGUACUGCUGACAUACAAACUGGUACUGCAGACAUACACACUGGUACUGCUGACAUACACACUGGUACUGCAGACAUACACACUGCUGACAUACACACUGGUACUGCUGACAUACACACUGGUACUGCUGACAUACACACUGGUACUGCUGACAUACACACUGAUACUGCUGACAUACAAACUGGUAAUGCUGAUAUACACACUGGUACUGCUGACAUACACACUGCUGACAUACACACUGGUACUGCUGACAUACACACUGGUACUGCUGACAUACACACUGGUACUGCUGACAUAUACACUGGUACUGCAGACAUACACACUGGUACUGCAGACAUACACACUGGUACUGCUGACACGAGAACACACACACACACACCUCCUCUUCCUCUCUGCGAUCUCCUGGGUGAUGUUCACCCAGCGUGUGUUGAGGGUGUUGAGCUGUAG
rnacentral:lncRNA from 1 species